rnacentral:rRNA from 1 species
UACGUAGGGACCAAGCGUUGUUCGGAUUUACUGGGCGUAAAGGGCGCGUAGGCGGCGUGGUAAGUCAGUUGUGAAAUCUCCGAGCUUAACUCGGAACGGCCAACUGAUACUGCUGUGCUAGAGUGCAGAAGGGGCAAUCAGAAUUCUUGGUGUAGCGGUGAAAUGCGUAGAUAUCAAGAGGAAUACCUGAGGUGAAGACGGGUUGCUAGGCUGACACUGCCGCUGAGGCGCGAAAGCCAGGGGAGCAAACGGG